rnacentral:lncRNA from 1 species
UUGGGGUUUUUUAUGAGUAAAGAGUAAGGUAUAUCAUUUCAUCCACCAUUUUCCACAUGAAGAAAUGCCCGUGCAAAGUCAGGAAUAUGAAUGCUGGUUUCUAUUCGUUUGAUGUGUUUGUACUUUUCAUUUUGAUCAAAUUUGAAGCUUGUUUGAUAUAUCGAAAGAAAGACAAAUGAGAAGACAUUUAUACUGUAGUCGACGACGAGUUAUUGUUCUUUGCUUGGUGUCAGCGAUAUCCUGUCAGACACAACCAUAUAGAUAUUCAGAUGUAUGAGUAUUUUUUUUUUUUAUUUAUUUAUUUU